AGAUUCAUUAAAUAUAAAUAAUUACAUGUUUUCAAAUGAUAGUGAGUGUAGUUGGAUUAAUGAUUAUAAAAAAAUGUGUAGUCAUGGUUUGUUAAGCAAAUUGAAUUCAGGAUCGAAUGUAAAAGAUGAAAAUGUAUAUAAUUUAAAGGUUGAAAACGAUUACAGUCGCAAUCAUAAUAAUAUUAGUAUUUAUAAUGAUAGGGCUGUUGAGGAGAGUGACAAUAAUGAACGAAGUGUUAUGAAAAAAAAUGUGGAGGUCAAUACGGGUGUAAUAUCGCAUGAUGAAUACGAAACAGGGGUAUUAAAACUGAAGUACAACGGAAGUGACAUUAAUAGUAACAUAAAUACUGGAACCGUAAACAAUGACAACAUAAAAAAUGACAACAUAAAAAAUGACAAAAUAAAAACUGGAAACGUAAGUAAUAAAAACAUAAAAAAUGACAAAAUCAAAACUGAAAAAAUAAAAGAUGACAAAAUAAAGAAAAACUGUAUUAAUUACCAGUGCAAGCGAAUAAAUGAUGACGAAAAAAAAGAAAAAGAAAAUCCCACAACAAUAAAGGAAAACGUAUUUACUUUUAAUAUGUGUAUAUAUUUACUUAAAAAUAAAAAAAAUAAAAAAAAAUACGUUGUAAACAUGUUAUUACAUAAAAAAGAAGGUGUUAAUAGUAGUAGUAGUGGUAGUGGUAGUAGUAGUGGUAGUGGUAGUAGUAGUAGUGGUAGUAGUGGUAGUAAUGGCAGUAGUAGUAGUGGCAGUAGUAACAGUAGUAAUAAUAAAAAAAAAAAAAAAAAUCGAAUCUAUAUAUUGAAACCUUUGAAAAUAUUUAUGAAUGAUGUGACAUAUGUUUUUCGACAGAAUAGUACAAAAAAAAUAAGUUUUAUUAAUACAAAUAGGAAAGAAUAUGCAGUUAUUGAAAUAGUAGAUAAAGUAAUAUAUGAAUUAGUAUUUUUUUAUUUUCAGUACAAACAAUAUAUAAAUUAUAUAGUAGAUAAGUUUCAAAAAAAACAAAAAAACACAACAUAUGGUGAUGGUGAUGGUGAUGGUGAUGGUGAUGGUGAUGGUGAUGGUGAUGGUNNNNNNNNNNAUGGUGAUGGUGAUGGUGAUGGUGAUGGUGAUGGUGAUGGUGAUGGUAAUGGUAAUGGUAAUGAUGAUUUAUGUAUGAAUAUGUAUGAUCAUAAGCUGUUGGAUUUUUGUUCUGUUAAACGUGCAGAGUUAGGUUUGGAUGGUAAUGUUAAUACACCUGGUCUUAUGCGUAAUAGCACGACUGAAUAUGUUGAUAAAUUAAUAAAUACAAAUGUACACUCUUUGGACCAGUAUAAUAACGACAUUGUUCCUACUACAAACCCAGUUGAAACGAAAAAUGCAGUUGAAACGAAAAAUGCAGUUGAAGAAAAUAUGUUAGAACGUAAUACUAAAACUGUUACAAUGGAAUCAGGUGGACAAAAUGAAAAUGUUAGCAUCGAUAAAGAUAUAAAUGUACUUUACCAUGAGUAUAACUUAAAAAAGAAAUGUGAAAUGAUAGAUGGUAAUGGUGAUGGGGUAGAUGUACAUACAGGUACAGGUACACAUGCGAGUGCACAAGUAGACACACUUACACAUACCGAAGUAGCCAAGACGGAGGAUAAAAAAUUCGCUAAAGAUACUUCUAUAACUACUUACGAUUAUAACAAAAAAAAAGUUGAUGAAAACAUAAGCAAACAUAACAACAGAAAGUGUAACACUAUGGGUCACUCACAACUAUAUGAAACUAACCAAGAAGUAAUAA
rnacentral:lncRNA from 1 species